rnacentral:rRNA from 1 species
GAUGAACGCUGGCGGCGUGCUUAACACAUGCAAGUCGAACGAAGCGCUUUGAUUUCUUCGGAUUGAUGAGUGACUGAGUGGCGGACGGGUGAGUAACGCGUGGGUAACCUGCCUCACACAGGGGGAUAACAGUUAGAAAUGACUGCUAAUACCGCAUAAGGCCACAGUACCGCAUGGUACAGUGAUAAAAACUCCGGUGGUGUGAGAUGGACCCGCGUCUGAUUAGCUAGUUGGUGAGGUAACGGCCCACCAAGGCGACGAUCAGUAGCCGACCUGAGAGGGUGACCGGCCACAUUGGGACUGAGACACGGCCCAAACGCCUACGGGAGGCAGCAGUGGGGAAUAUUGCACAAUGGGCGAAAGCCUGAUGCAGCGACGCCGCGUGAAGGAUGAAGUAUUUCGGUAUGUAAACUUCUAUCAGCAGGGAAGAAAAUGACGGUACCUGACUAAGAAGUCCCGGCUAACUACGUGCCAGCCGCCGCAGUAACAC